UACGGAGGGAGCUAGCGUUGUUCGGAAUUACUGGGCGUAAAGCGCGCGUAGGCGGCUUUUGUAAGUUAGAGGUGAAAGCCCGGAGCUCAACUCCGGAACUGCCUUUAAAACUGCAUCGCUUGAAUCCAGGAGAGGUGAGUGGAAUUCCGAGUGUAGAGGUGAAAUGCGUAGAUAUCGGGAGGAACACCAGUGGCGAAGGCGACUUCCUGGCCUGUUCUUGACGCUGAGGCGCGAAAGCUAGGGGAGCAAACGGG
rnacentral:rRNA from 1 species